GACGAACGCUGGCGGCGUGCUUAACACAUGCAAGUCGAACGGAAAGGCCCCCACCUUGGUGGGGGUGCUCGAGUGGCGAACGGGUGAGUAACACGUGGGUGAUCUGCCCUGUACUUCGGGAUAAGCUUGGGAAACUGGGUCUAAUACCGGAUAGGACCAUGGUUUAGUGUCUCAUGGUGGAAAAAUUAUUGUUUUGGUGCAGGAUGAGCUCGCGGCCUAUCAGCUUGUUGGUGGGGUAAUGGCCUACCAAGGCGUCGACGGGUAGCCGGCCUGAGAGGGUGGACGGCCACAUUGGGACUGAGAUACGGCCCAGACUCCUACGGGAGGCAGCAGUGGGGAAUAUUGCACAAUGGGCGCAAGCCUGAUGCAGCGACGCCGCGUGGGGGAUGACGGCCUUCGGGUUGUAAACUCCUUUCGUUAGGGACGAAGCCACACCUUUUUUGGG
rnacentral:rRNA from 1 species